AACCCCACUAAAAAACUUGAUGAUAGAUUUUUUUCAUUUUUCAUACUUGAGGUCUAUGAGAUUCGUUAAAAUAGUGGGAGAUCCAAUUAGAUAAAAAACCCUGUCUAAUUUGUACAAAUCAUCAUGAGUAGUCUUUUUUUAUGUUCUUAUAUAUUCAUCAGCAUCUUCACUAUCACUGCAUAUUAUAUAUGAUGCUUUUUUGAUCGAAUUUCCUGGACUAGUUGAGGAACCUGAGAAUAGUUCUCACAUAAGAGAUAGUCUCCUAUUCUCCUGAUUUUGAUU
rnacentral:lncRNA from 1 species